GAUGAACGCUGGCGGCGUGCCUAAUACAUGCAAGUCGAGCGAACAGACGAGGAGCUUGCUCCUCUGACGUUAGCGGCGGACGGGUGAGUAACACGUGGAUAACCUACCUAUAAGACUGGGAUAACUUCGGGAAACCGGAGCUAAUACCGGAUAACAUUUUGAACCGCAUGGUUCAACAGUGAAAGACGGUCUUGCUGUCACUUAUAGAUGGAUCCGCGCCGCAUUAGCUAGUUGGUAAGGUAACGGCUUACCAAGGCAACGAUGCGUAGCCGACCUGAGAGGGGGAUCGGCGACACUGGAACUGAGACACGGACCAGACUCCUACGGGAGGCAGCAGUAGGGAACCUUACGCAAUGGGCGAAAGCCUGGCGGAGCAACGCCGAGUGAGUGAAGAAGGUCUUCGGAUCGUAAAACUCUGUUAUUAGGGAAGAACAAAUGUGUAAGUAACUAUGCACGUCUUGACGGUACCUAAUCAGAAAGCCACGGCUAACUACGUG
rnacentral:rRNA from 1 species